rnacentral:rRNA from 1 species
GACGAACGCUGGCGGCGGGCCUAACACAUGCAAGUCGAACGAGUGGCGGACGGGUGAGUAAUGUCUGGGAAACUGCCUGUUGGAGGGGGAUAACUACUGGAAACGGUAGCUAAUACCGCAUACCAUCAGAUGUUCCCAGAUGGGAUUAGCUAGUAGGUGGGGUAACGGCUCACCUAGGCGACGAUCCCUAGCUGGUCUGAGAGGAUGACCAGCCACACUGGAACUGAGACACGGUCCAGACUCCUACGGGAGGCAGCAGUGGGGAAUAUUGCACAAUGGGCGCAAGCCUGAUGCAGCCAUGCCGCGUGUGUGAAGAAGGCCUUCGGGUUGUAAAGUACUUUCAGCGGGGAGGCGUUACCCGCAGAAGAAGCACAGGCUAACUCCGUGCCAGCAGCCGCGGUAAUUC